GCGUCGACUUCAUCGUGAGGGUGUAACAUGGUAACCCGGGAAGAUUGACAGAGCUUCCUCCAUCAUAUACAUCUAUAAAACUACUCGUUAAAUUCCUCAACAAAUUCAAACCACAAAUUCUUUUUUCUCCUACAAUAGAAUCAAUCUUUCUAGCAAUUUUAUCGAUGAAUAAUCUUCUUGCUCUGUUUUCAAUUGCAGUGCGUGUAUUUCUGCCUUUGUUUGUCAUCCCGGAGUUUCGGUCUUACUUCCUCAGCACAUCAUCGACAAACCGUGGUCUUGCCAAAGUGAGUUUUUAAAUACUCCAAAAUUAUUCUGAAACAAUGUACCGGAGAGCAAAAUUCUCAACUUCGUCUCAACUUUCAUCAGAGCCUUCCUCAGCCUCAAUUUAUUGUUUCUAGGGUUAUGCCCCUCAUCAAGGAUUAGGAUCCUAGGGCAUUGCUGCAACAAAUGGCCUAAAUACCGCCUGUGAGAAUCUUUUUAAUCUUCUCGUGUGAGUGUCAUAAAAUAGGAAUAACUCAUUAGAAGCACACACGGGUGAUCAAGCAACUUUUGAAUUCUUUCCAUGCAUUCUACAAUAUGCAAAGCAUUGGAGUUGGGUUUUGGGAAUCCAGGUUCAAGAGAUAUUCCCAAUUUCUUUCUCAAGACUUCACCUCUGUAAGGUUGUCUUUUUUUGAGCCACUUGCCAAUAGGUGAUAAACAUAGACUACUUUCUCCGGACCUGGACGAAAAGUCAGUGCUACAGCUUGCUUUGUCUUAGAAGGGUUCCACUUUUGAUCCAAUAAGAUCACUUGACGCUGCAGUCAGAUUAAUGCCCUCACAGCAAGCUGUAAUUGAAGCCAGCAUUACUUUUGACACCCCUUCCCUCUGCUCAAACUUAUCCAUUGCAAUUCCACGUUCGAAUAGUUCCAUUUUUCCUUGAAGGUCCAAAACUUCUUCCCCUUUCCUCCAUCCGUUGGAGGAUGCAAAUAAAUUAACAAAAAGACCAAUCGGGGAAAUAUUGUGGAAAAAGAUUAAAACCUUCUAUUUCCUCAUGAUGCAUUUAGGCACUAGCCUCAUUACAAACCUCACCUUGAAAGGCAACUUGAGGUCAAGCUUGUAUUUCUCAAGACCUUCAAGUUCUUGCUCGUUGAAGUAUUGACAGGAAGCAGGUGUAGUUUGAAGCAACCAAGUGUAUCGAAACUAGAGUGGACAGAAACUUCUUUUCCAGUGGAAACCUUUGUACUUGGCGACUUGAUAUACAAGUUUUUUCAAAAGCUCUUGCUAUUUUGGCGUCGACUUCAUCGUGAGGGUGUAACAUUGUAACCCGGGAAGAUUGACAGAGCUUCCUCUAUCAUAUUCAUCUAUAAAACUACUCAUUAAAUUCCUCAAUAAAUUCAAACCACACAUUCUUUCUUCUCCUACACUUGAAUCAAUCUUCCUCGUAAUUUUAGGAAUUGAGCGAGUAGUUUUAUAGUAUAUAUGAUGGAGGAAGCUCUGUCAAUCUUCCCGGGUUACAAUGUUACACCCUCACGAUGAAGUCGACGCCAAAACAGCAAGAGCUUUUGAAAAAACAUCUAAAUCAAGGCGCCAAGUGCAAAGGAUUUUCACUGGAAAAGGAGUUUCUGGCCACUCUAGUUUCGAUACAUCCUUGGUUGCUCAAAACUACACCUGCUUCUAGUCAAUACUUCAACAAGCAAGAAUUUAAGGGCUCCGCCCUAAUCCCCCUUCAGAUCUGCCGAUUUCACCCCUAGGAAUCCCCCUUCUCCCACCCUAGCUUCCAUUCAUUCGCUACCGCUAGUUUUGGUUCUUUCUCGAGCAGAGAAUUGGGAUUUUGUGGCGAUUUGGAGGCUGCAAUCGAUUUGUUCUUCGAUUAACUGAGGACCAACAUAUACUACACACUGAGUAUAUGUCUCCCAUUCGCUUGCCAGGCUUCAAAUAUGUAAGUAUUCUCUUAUUAUGCAGAGCUCUGGCUGGUGGUGCUUAGAUUUGAAUAUGUUGUUCAAUGUAGAGCCUUGGCUGGUGGUGCUUAGAUUUGUACUUAUGUUGUUUAAUGCAGAGCCCUGGCUGGUGGUGCUUAGUUUUGUGAUGGUCAAUUCGUUUGGGUAUAACAAAUAGCUAUCCGCCCGACGCACGAUGGUGCAAGAUGAGCUAUUAAAGCUUGAUAUUACCUUGAUGGAGAAGUUCAAGUUAAGUGCCGUAGCCUGUCAAGAGGAACAAAGGGUUGACAACUUCUAUAGCACGAAGCCUAAGGAGAGACAACUAUAUGUGGAGGCCAUCCUUAGCGGUCUUGUGUAUGGUCCCAUUUAGUGGGAUACGUAGUGCCUUUUUGAAGUGGGUUAAGUACCAUUAUAAGCAAGAAUGGUACUUUAUCCAUUUUUUUUGAAGUGGCAGAACUUUAUCGUCGUAUCCUUAAUUAGGAAGCCAUUUGUUAAUGUAUAAUGAACAAUGGAGGAUGACAACGAACUAUGGUGGGUGUAUGAACUAUGAACUAUGCACUAUGAUCUUAAACUCAUGAAUUUGGUACAUUUUUUUUUUUUUGAUCCGCGAAUUUGGUACAUUUGAUGCAUACUUUUUGGUCAUAUUUGGAAAUGUAAUAUGAAGUUUCUUUGCAUGACA